UCCUGCAGCCUCCCGAGAGGGCCGGGAGGGAAGGAGGGUCAUGGCCCUCCAGGAGCUGGCUCAGGGCCUCCCCGCCGUCCGGCUUUGUCUGCAGGCCCCCGGGGCAGCUGGCAACGGGGCCCUGCUUCGCUUCUCUGCUGGAAGUGGACGGACACGGGCUGGGACAGAGGGGGGGCCCUGCCUGUGGCCGGAGACAUAGGGAGGGUGUGACGGGGGCAAUACGCAGCCUAGUUUUAUCUACACCUGUGGGCGCCCCUCUGGGGCCUCGGGCCUCGGGGUUCCGGGAGGGGGAGACGAGUGACUAAGGCCCGAAAGGGCCGGCGUGGCCGGCGGGUGGCGGCCUUGAACGUCUCACACCUCGCCCAGCCCAGCCUGGCGCUGUGCUGGGAACUCUGCCUCUGUUCCCUCGCCUUGUCCGCACACAGCCGGGCUGCCCGGCACGCAUAGGUGAGACGCCAGGGCCACUGCAGGCCACACGGUGGGUAAAUCCCACCAUGGUCCCCUGGAUGUUCCGGAAAGGCUGUGGGUUCUGGUCCCUCCCACUGGAACCCAGAGAAACUCGUGCUGGAGGAGGGACCGGGCAUUCCCAGCACCGUGGGCCCAGGACCUGGGAGGGGACACAGCCUCUCCUGGUUCUUGGCCCUGGUGGGCCCGGCUUGGCAGGGAUGGUGGGGGGCUCGUGAUGAAGGGUUUACAAAUCCUUCGCAUAGGACAGCAAAACGCAUCCUCAGAAAAGCACUGGAAAGGGUUUAGUGUAAAAAAUGCCGUUGCAGAGCACCUGGCUCUCAGGAGGAAGGCGGACCCCCCCAUCCCCACCCGGCUAUCGGCUCCCUCCCAGUCAGGCCCAUCAAAGCUGCCUCUGUCCGCCCUCCAGGGCCCUGCAGGAGCCAGGUGCUUCCAAGAGUACGUCUGCCCCCGGGACCUGGGCUCUCUUUUCUGCAUGUGACAGAGGAGAAAGCCGAGGUUCAGAGAGGACCCCCAGCUAGAAGGGACCAGACAGGGAUUUGAAGAUAGCACUGGGUAACUGCCCAGGCUAGACCCACCCUCCAGCAGAGACGGAGAUUUCCCUCAGAAGCCACAGCCCCUCGCCCACCACAGUGCCACCCAUGGCCAAACACGUCUGGGAAAUACUGCUCACAGUUCCCUCCUGGCGGGGAGCCAGCGUGCAGAGCAGCUAAGGCUCUGAGAAGUCCCGCAUGCAAGAAGUCUGCUCCCCUCUGCUCACCCAGUGGUUGCCAAACUGGGGUAUGGCCUAUCCACCGGAGGGGGUGGGGGGCAGGGUAAGGGCAGGCCUGGUGGCCUACAAGCUGCUGUAAGCUGCUGUGGUCAGGCUGUCCAGAAAGUCCUGCUGUGAAUGAGCUGCAGGGCCCUGGGGCGAGUCCCUUCCUCCCUUCACCUUCGUCUCAACCUUGAAGGGGGAAGAGAAACAAGGCCCACCUGACAGGGCUGCUGGGGGGACACGGCUAAGUGCUAGUUGUUCACGCUCUUCUUCUGGGGAACUCUUACUUGCUGAAGACCCUACUGUGUGCCUUGCUUGGCAUCUGCCCCCCGGCAAGAAGACCAUCCCCCAAAGGCUCAUGGCCCACCCUCUGGGAGGAAAGCCAGCAGUGAACAAAUGAUUCCUGGCUUGGAUCCGUGCGUUCCAGGAGCCAAGGGAACUCGUCGGCAGGGGGGCAGGAAAGAACAGGGCCUGCAGGCCUCUGCUAUUUCCGGUCCCGCCGAGCCUGGGCCUGAUCACGUCCCCAGCUCCCUGCAGGGUCCACGCCUGGCCUGCUGCCCGCGUGAAGGAGCGGAAAUGCGCUGGGCGCCUGGGCGUGCUGCAGACGAUGCGGUCCCGGGAGCUCCCGCUAGCCAGGACACUUGUCACUGGGUGUAGGGCCACCCUCAUUUGGAUGACCUCAUCUCAAGGCCCCAGUGAAGCAGCAGGACCGGGUUUUGGCCCUGAUCUGUCACCAGCCCCUUCGCGACCCUGGAGAAGUUGCUCCUGAAUCUGUCAAACGGGAAGAUUCCGGCCUGGGAGGGGCCAUGGGUCUUUCAGGCUCUGAUAGAAGCCUGUCCCCUCCCCAGAAAAAUGCCACUCUGUAUGCGCACCGAUCCAGGGGCUCAUAGACCCCGGGGAUCUGGGUUCACAAUCAACCUUUCCCUCAGGCCCGGAACGAGAUGCGGAGGCCCCCCCCGCCAACGUUACCUCGUCCACACACCCCUCUCCCUUCUCCUUAGCGCACACGCUGCUGCACCCCUCCAGCACCUUCUCUCUUGGGACGCCCUCAGCCCUGCUCCGUUCCCUUCCAGGUGGCCCACACCUGCGGCUCAUAGUCUGCAGGGUCUCGCACCUGCCGCUGGAGGUGUUCAGGGUCUCCAGGUCUGCUGUGCUCCUGACCCCCGGGGAGGGGGGCGGGGCUCCAGCCAAGUUCACAAGCAAGGGCCGGGGACAGCAGGCAGGGAGAAGGAGAGGGUCUCCAGGCGGCAGGUGCAGAGAGGGAGGCCUGACCAGGAGCCCGGGUGUGGCCCAGGUGGGCAGGCUCUGUGCCCAGGGCCGAGAGGGCACAGGAGGUUCUGAUGUCGCCUGAGCGGACAGGCUGCAGCUCCCCUCAGGGUGCCCCCCCCCCCAACUCGGUGCCGCCCCAGGCUCCCUGCAGGCUGCCCGUCCCCCCCACCUCCACAGGCCUCUGCUCAGCUGGGCUUCAGCACCCUCACGCUUGGUCCUGCGACCUUGGGAUUCUGGUUCGUUUGCUAGCUGCCCUCCUUCCAGGCCCGGGUCUUGGGGGCGGGGGCCCCAGUCGCUGACUGCGUCAGGCUGCAGGUGUGCAUGAGCGACGCCAGAGCCACUGGGAGGGGCCCUGCCUGCUCCCCGAGCUGUUCGCCCGUGAACCCCUCCACUCGAGCUGGGCUCCGCCUCCUGAGUCACCCGUGGCCUCCAUGUGACCGCAGCCAGCGUGCAGACCCCAGUUCUCCAGCUGGGCCGUCCCCACCCUGCACACCGUCACCCCUGCUCCUCCUCCUCCUUCCUUCCUCCCCGUGGGCUGCGGGACGCCUCCCGGCCGGUACCGCUGCCCCUUCUCGGUCCCCGAGGGCUGCCCCUUCCGUCCUCGGCCUGUGAGUGCUUCUUCCAGGCCAGGCCUCCUGUUCCUUCUACGGGCCGAGGACCCCGCAUCGCUGUCUGUGCCGCACUGUCCCGCCUCGGGGGGGACAUGCCCACUCUCCAUGCCCACUCUGGGCCUGCUAAGUUGGGGGAGUGGGCUCCCCACGGGCAGGGGCUCGGCUCCCGCCUCAGUACCCAGCUCUCCGUGUGAGGCCUCUCCCCCUUGGGGGGGUCACUGGAGAGUCAUGUGGCCUGCCCCGGCGGCACUGGGGGUGAGCCCCUCUCUGUGCAGGGGCUCCCAGACGGGUGCUCCCACAGGGUGGCGGGUGGGGUUCCGGCCGUGGGUACUGAGGGCUGAGUCCCAGCACCCCUGGUGAGAGAGGCCGGCAGGUGGUUCCGGGGGCCGCUGCCGUAACUGGGGGCCGGGUCACAGCUCCGGUCCGGCUGGGUCCUAAGAGACCCCGGAGCGGCUGGGUCAGGCGUCGCCACCCUUCACAGGGAAGAGGCCAGGGACGGAGUGCAGCUGGUGCAGACACAUCCUCCCGCGCCCUUCGAGGGCCCCUUUCCGGGCUCCAUGCAGGGCUCUGGAGGAGUGGUGAGUUCUCGUACUUUGUUGUCAUGAAAAAAAUCCAACGGACUCAUCCAACACAGAACAGAAGGGACGGGGAAGCGAAAGGGCAGAGACCAGUUCCACCAGCCGCAGACCCAGCUGUACGGGGUCGGCACUGGGGGGCGCAUCUUUGCACUGUUUUCCUGCGUGUACGUCUGCGUGCGUGUGCACAAGUGUGUGUGUGUGUGUGUGCACGUGUGUCCACGUAAGCCUCGCCGGCAUCAUGCCUUACUGCUGCCCCUCGUGUCCCUUUUCCUGUGAGAUCCCAGCGUGGGGGGGGGGGGGGUCCUUCUGCCACAGGACUUUAAAUGCCCGCGAGGCGUCGCGUUGUAUAAACACUCAGCAGUUAAUUUACCCUAAGUCCCCCACGAACCGUUUUGACUCUUUUUUUGCUGAAACAAACCGCAGCGUUCAGACGAACAUCCUUGCCCACGUCCCUGACGGACAAAGCAAGACGGGAGGCCGUGGGUCAGAGGGCAUGCCGUGUGCGACUUUGUGUGCGUGUGAAAAUUGCCAGGGACGAUAGGGAGGGACCCCGCGUGCCUUUUCCCUCUGUCUUGUUAAUUUUAGGUGUGAGCAAAAAAAAAAAAAAAAAAAAAAAAAAAAAAUGACCGCCAAUUCGGCACAGGUGAAGAGAUGUCACUGCUCCUUCAACCUUUGAAUUUUGUGAAGUUCAACAGUUUGCAAGGAACCCUUUAUAUGUGAAUUACAUAAAAUCUUUGUCAGCCGUGUAUGUUACACAUAUUUUUCCAAAUCUGUCGUUUGUCCGUUAGCUUUCUGAUUUGCUUUUCUCGCGGAACGUUUCACUUUUUUUUCUAUGCAGCCCAGUUGCUGUCCUUGGUCGGGGGGUCUUGGUGUCUGUUGAUUUUAGGGCG